CUAUAAUUUGCCCCUGAAUUCUAGGUAUACCACCUUCUUUUACUGACUCAAUCUUUUUUCUAGAUAGAUUAAUAUCAUUGAUUAAGCUCCAGCAACCUCUUCUACCAAUUAAUCCUAGUCAUGAAUGAUAGAUACACUUAUGGAUACGAGAUUUCCUCAAUUCAACUAAGCCUUUUGUUUUGGAGAAAGAAAAACAUUUUAAAGCCACUGAGGGCAAUCACACAGAAUGAUACCCAUUUCCCAUAAGUGGCUUCAUGUAUGUUGGUCGUGAUUUAUGUGAUGGAUGAAGCAAAAGUAACUCUCCAUCUGCAAGUAAGUUCCAGAAAAAUCCAAAUCCGUUGAAAAGGAUGUGGCUUCUAAC
rnacentral:lncRNA from 1 species